AUUGAACGCUGGCGGCAGGCUUAACACAUGCAAGUCGAACGAGGGGCGGACGGGUGAGUAAUGUCUGGGAAACUGCCUGAGGGAGGGGGAUAACUACUGGAAACGGUAGCUAAUACCGCAUACCAUCAGAUGUGCUCAGAUGGGAUUAGCUGGUUGGUGGGGUAACGGCUCACCAAGGCGACGAUCCCUAGCUGGUCUGAGAGGAUGACCAGCCACACUGGAACUGAGACACGGUCCAGACUCCUACGGUAUGGCGCAGUGUGGAAUAUUGCACAAUGGGGGCGAGCCUGAUGCAGCCGUGCCGCGUGUAUGAAGAAGGCCUUCGGGUUGUAAAGUACUUUCAGCGGGGAGGCGUUACCCGCAGAAGAAGCACCGGCUAACUCCGUGCCAGCAGCCGCGGUAAUUC
rnacentral:rRNA from 1 species